rnacentral:rRNA from 1 species
UGCAGUCGAGCGGUAGAGAGAAGCUUGCUUCUCUUGAGAGCGGCGGACGGGUGAGUAAUGCCUAGGAAUCUGCCUGGUAGUGGGGGAUAACGUUCGGAAACGGACGCUAAUACCGCACACGUCCUACGGGAGAAAGCAGGGGACCUUCGGGCCUUGCGCUAUCAGAUGAGCCUAGGUCGGAUUAGCUAGUUGGUGGGGUAAUGGCUCACCAAGGCGACGAUCCGUAACUGGUCUGAGAGGAUGAUCAGUCACACUGGAACUGAGACACGGUCCAGACUCCUACGGGAGGCAGCAGUGGGGAAUAUUGGACAAUGGGCGAAAGCCUGAUCCAGCCAUGCCGCGUGUGUGAAGAAGGUCUUCGGAUUGUAAAGCACUUUAAGUUGGGAGGAAGGGUUGUAGAUUAAUACUCUGCAAUUUUGACGUUACCGACAGAAUAAGCACCGGCUAACUCUGUGCCAGCAGCCGCGGUAAUACAGAGGGUGCAAGCGUUAAUCGGAAUUACUGGCGGUAAAGCACGCGUAGGUGGUUAGUUAAGUUGGAUGUGAAAUCCCCGGGCUCAACCUGGGAACUGCAUUCAAAACUGACUGACUAGAGUAUGGUAGAGGGUGGGUGGAAUUUCCUGUGUAGCGGUGAAAUGCGUAGAUAUAGGAAGGAACACCAGUGGCGAAGGCGACCACCUGGACUGAUACUGACACUGAGGUGCGAAAGCGUGGGGAGCAAACAGGAUUAGAUACCCUGGUAGUCCACGCCGUAAACGAUGUCAACUAGCCGUUGGGAGCCUUGAGCUCUUAGUGGCGCAACUAACGCAUUAAGUUGACCGCCUGGGGGAGUACGGCCGCAAGGUUAAAACUCA